rnacentral:rRNA from 1 species
CCUACGGGAGGCAGCAGUGGGGAAUAUUGGACAAUGGGCGGAAGCCUGAUCCAGCCAUGCCGCGUGUGUGAAGAAGGCCUUCGGGUUGUAAAGCACUUUCAGUGGGGAAGAAAGCCUUGGGGCUAAUACCCUCGAGGAAGGACAUCACCCACAGAAGAAGCACCGGCUAACUCCGUGCCAGCAGCCGCGGUAAUACGGAGGGUGCGAGCGUUAAUCGGAAUUACUGGGCGUAAAGCGCGCGUAGGCGGUCUGAUAAGCCGGUUGUGAAAGCCCCGGGCUCAACCUGGGAACGGCAUCCGGAACUGUCAGGCUAGAGUGCAGGAGAGGAAGGUAGAAUUCCCGGUGUAGCGGUGAAAUGCGUAGAGAUCGGGAGGAAUACCAGUGGCGAAGGCGGCCUUCUGGACUGACACUGACGCUGAGGUGCGAAAGCGUGGGUAGCAAACAGGAUUAGAUACCCCAGUAGUC